ACGGGUGAGUAAUAUAUCGGAACGUGCCCAAUCGUGGGGGAUAACGUAGAGAAAUUUACGCUAAUACCGCAUACGAUCUAAGGAUGAAAGCGGGGGAUCGCAAGACCUCGCGCGAUUGGAGCGGCUGAUAUCAGAUUAGGUUGUUGGUGAGGUAAAAGCUCACCAAGCCGACGAUCUGUAGCUGGUUUGAGAGAACGACCAGCCACACUGGGACUGAGACACGGCCCAGACUCCUACGGGAGGCAGCAGUGGGGAAUUUUGGACAAUGGGCGAAAGCCUGGUCCAGCAAUGCCGCGUGCAGGAAGAAGGCCUUCGGGUUGUAAACUGCUUUUGUACGGAACGAAACGGCUCUUUCUAAUAAAGAGGGCUAAUGACGGUACCGUAAGAAUAAGCACCGGCUAACUACGUGCCAGCAGCCGCGGUAAUACGUAGGGUGCGAGCGUUAAUCGGAAUUACUGGGCGUAAAGCGUGCGCAGGCGGUUAUGUAAGACAGUUGUGAAAUCCCCGGGCUCAACCUGGGAAUUGCAUCUGUGACUGCAUAGCUAGAGUACGGUAGAGGGGGAUGGAAUUCCGCGUGUAGCAGUG
rnacentral:rRNA from 1 species